rnacentral:rRNA from 1 species
UACGGGGGGGGGCAAGCGUUGUUCGGAAUUACUGGGCGUAAAGGGCUCGUAGGCGGCCAACUAAGUCGGAUGUGAAAUCCCCAGGCUUAACCUGGGAACUGCAUCCGAUACUGGAUGGCUUGAAUCCGGGAGAGGGAUGCAGAAUUCCAGGUGUAGCGGUGAAAAUGCGUAGAUAUCUGGAGGAACACCGGUGGCGAAGGCGACCAUCCUGGACCGGUAUUGACGCUGAGGCGCGAAAGCCAGGGGAGCAAACGGG